rnacentral:rRNA from 1 species
UGUAAGCGUAUACCAAAGUUGUUGCAGUUAAAACGCUCGUAGUCGGACUUUGGCAGUUCCGGAUGUGUGCACGUCGUGUGCGCACUUCGCGGGGAUUGCUUUUGUGGUCUUGCGUAGGAUGAGGCACUUUUAUUAGUGAACGUCCUCACGCAACCACUUUUCACUGUGAGAAAAUCAGAGUGCUCAAAGCAGGCAUUUGCCGUGAAUGUAUUAGCAUGGAAUAAUAGAAUAGGACUUGGUUCUAUUUUGUUGGUUUGUUGGGACUGAGUAAUGAUUAAGAGGGACAGUUGGGGGCAUUUGUAUUUCGGUGCUAGAGGUGAAAUUCUUAGAUUACCGAAAGACAAACUGCUGCGAAAGCGUCUGCCAAGGAUGUUUUCAUUGA